UACGGGAGGCAGCAGUGGGGAAUAUUGCACAAUGGGCGCAAGCCUGAUGCAGCCAUGCCGCGUGUAUGAAGAAGGCCUUCGGGUUGUAAAGUACUUUCAGUCGUGAGGAAGGUGUUAAGGUUAAUAACCUUAGCAAUUGACGUUAGCGACAGAAGAAGCACCGGCUAACUCCGUGCCAGCAGCCGCGGUAAUACGGAGGGUGCGAGCGUUAAUCGGAAUUACUGGGCGUAAAGGGCACGCAGGCGGUUAAUUAAGUUGGAUGUGAAAUCCCCGGGCUUAACCUGGGAAUGGCAUUCAAGACUGGUUAGCUAGAGUCUUGUAGAGGGGGUAGAAUUCCGAUGUGUAGCGGUGAAAUGCGUAGAGAUGUGGAGGAAUACCGGGUGGCGAAGGCGGCCCCUGGGACAAAGGACUGACGCUCAUGUGCGAAAGCGUGGGGAGCGAAACAGGGAUUAGAUACC
rnacentral:rRNA from 1 species